AACGAACGCUGGCGGCAUGCCUAACACAUGCAAGUCGAACGGGAUCCAGGCUUCGGCCUGGUGAGAGUGGCGGACGGGUGAGUAACACGUGGGAACCUGCCUUUUGGUUCGGGAUAACCGCGGGAAACUGCGGCUAAUACCGGAUGCUCCCGAGAGGGGAAAGAUUUAUCGCCAGAAGAGGGGCCCGCGUCCGAUUAGGUAGUUGGUGAGGUAAUGGCUCACCAAGCCGACGAUCGGUAGCUGGUCUGAGAGGAUGAUCAGCCACACUGGGACUGAGAUACGGCCCAGACUCCUACGGGAGGCAGCAGUGGGGAAUAUUGGACAAUGGGGGCGAACCCUGAUCCAGCAAUGCCGCGUGAGUGAUGAAGGCCUUAGGGUUGUAAAGCUCUUUUGCCAGGGAAGAUGAUGACUGUACCUGGAGAAUAAGCCCCGGCUAACUUCGUGCCAGCAGCCGCGGUAAU
rnacentral:rRNA from 1 species